rnacentral:rRNA from 1 species
UCCUUAGACGUUCUGGGCCGCACGCGCGCUACACUGACCAGUGCAACAAGCAUCCGUCCUUGGCCGACAGGCCCGGGCAAUCUUUGAACGCUGGUCGUGAUGGGGAUAGACUUUUGCAAUUUUUGGUCUUCAACGAGGAAUUCCUAGUAAACGCAAGUCAUCAACUUGCAUUGAUUACGUCCCUGCCCUUUGUACACACCGCCCGUCGCACCUACCGAUUGAAUGGUCCGGUGAAGCCUCCGGAUUGGCGCGCACCUCGGUGCCGCCGAGAAGUUGGCUAAACCUUACCAUUUAGAGGAAGGUGAANUCGUAACA